UAUAGAUGUCUGUGGAAACAUGCAGAAGAACUGUGCUGUCUCAACAGUCGGUUGGAACACAGAUGGCUCAAAUCAUCACAACGCAAACAUAACAACUUUAUACAAUUUGAAUCCAACUCAGCCACUAUUUGAUAAGAAAAUAUAUUUCUCUCCAGUUUGUGAAACCAUCUCUACUGGCUAUGCAGAUGAAAAAAGCCAGAUUCCAGAGACGAGCAAGGAUUUCUAUUAUUGAACUUGAGUUCGAAGAUGAGAAUUCCUUUACUCCAGCCCUGCUCACGAUUUUUGACUGAAUUGGAAGGGUCCAGAGAUAUCACCACGCUUUUCUGUCUCUGCCACUAAAGUGUACUGAGUCAAAUGGGUGUCUGUUCUCCCUGAUUGUACACGUUGUUCCUUGACACCUUAGGUCUACAGCGGGAGUUUUCAGAUGUGUUAGGUGAAUCUCCAGGAUAGUAAACAACACUGUUAGUUGUUCAGGGAUGGGGAGUCAAGACACUGUCCUGCUCAUCACCACCCUUCUCACAUUGCCCCCAGUGCCCUCUUACUUAGAAUUACCACCUUCCCCCCCUCUUCCACUGGUAGGUUCUUUCUGUUUUAAAACCCAUUUUCAAAUCCAAUUCCUUGAUUUUCCAUUGGUGUGACAGGGUCUUUAAAAGCAAGACCGACCACAUAUGUUAUCCUCGGGUUGUCUCUCUUUGCCAACACUAAUUGCCUGAAACUUUCUAGCUGUAACUAGACUGUGGCCAGCUUCACCCUUUCCCAAGCCAAAUGAAAGCUGGGUGGGCCAGACCGCCUGAGAACAGGUCAAGGCUAUAGGUGAUUGUUUUCUCCAUCUUCCAAGUCUGGAAGGAAAUGGAGUAAAUAUCAGGCUGGUCCUGAUGAAGGAAACCAAUUCACUUGCAAAACAGGAUUCCUCCCUCCCAGAAGAUGGACUUCGGAGGAAUGACUGAGAAAACUGAGAACGCAUUUAGCAGAAGUUUGUGGGGGCAUUCUGGCUAGCU